rnacentral:rRNA from 1 species
GACGAACCGUCCUAACGUUGUUCGGAAUCACUGGGCUUAAAGGGCGCGUAGGCGGGUUCCCAAGUCGGUGGUGAAAUCUUUCGGUCCAACCGGAAAACAGCCGCCGAUACUGGGAGUCUUGAGGGAGGUAGGGGUCGAUGGAACUUCCGGUGGAGCGGUGAAAUGCGUAGAUAUCGGAAGGAACGCCGGUGGCGAAAGCGAUCGACUGGACCUUUUCUGACGCUGAGGCGCGAAAGCCAGGGGAGCAAACGGG